GAUGAACGCUGGCUGCAUGCUUAACACAUGCAAGUCGGCCGGGUAGUGGUGUUUCCAGUGGCGGCCGGGUGAGUAACGCGUAAGAACCUGCCCUUGGGAGUGGAACAACAACUGGAAACGGUUGCUAAUACCCCGUAGGCUGAGGCGCAAAAGGAGUGAUCCGCGCGAGGAGGGUCUUGCGUUUGCUCAGCUAGUUGGUGAGGUAAUAGCUUACCAAGGCGAUGAUCAGUAGCUGGUCCGAGAGGAUGAUCAGCCACACUGGGACUGGGACACGGCCCAGACUCCGACGGAAGGCAGCAGUGGGGAAUUUUCCGCAAUGGGCGAAAGCCUGACGGAGCAAUGCCGCGUGGAGGUAGAAGGCCCACGGGUCGUGGACUUCUUUUCUCGGAGAAGAAACAAUGACGGUAUCUGAGGAAUAAGCAUCGGCUAACUCUGUG
rnacentral:rRNA from 1 species